UUACCUCCUGAAUGUAUCAUCUCUAUUUUUAAUAUCUAAACACAUAAGGAAACUAUAAUCUCCUCCUUCACCUUAUUAGUCUCUUCCUUACAGCAAUUCAAUCAUACCAAUAACUGCUAUUUCCACCAAUAUAUUCACCCUCAUAAUCUCCAACUGUAAUACUAUGCCCUCACAGCUUUCAGCACACAAUUACACUCAUUCCAAUCACUAGAAUUCUUCACACAGAACUGCCAUUCACAUUACCGUGUUUCACACAAACAUAGAUUCAUUCUCUCUACUGAACUACAAUCAGAUUUCAGCAUUCAAUCUUUCUUCUUCUCAAAUAAUACCAAUCACAUUUCCAUUCCAUAAUUCACUUCACAAUAUUCAGAAACUCUCAAUCCUCUUAUUCAAAGAAAAUAACAAACAAAAGAAAAGAAGUAGCACCAAGCUUACCCCGGCUCACAACUAUCACAG
rnacentral:lncRNA from 1 species